AGAGUUUGAUCAUGGCUCAGAUUGAACGCUGGCGGCAUUUACACAUGCAAGUCGAACGGCAGCAUGGGUGCUUGCACCUGAUGGCGAGUGGCGAACGGGUGAGUAAUGUAUCGGAACGUAUCCGGAAAUGGGGGAUAACGUAGCGAAAGUUACGCUAAUACCGCAUAUGCCCUGAGGGGGAAAGUGGGGGAUCUUAGGACCUCACGUUUUCGGAGCGGCCGAUAUCAGAUUAGCUAGUUGGUGAGGUAAAGGCUCACCAAGGCUUCGAUCUGUAGCUGGUCUGAGAGGACGACCAGCCACACUGGGACUGAGACACGGCCCAGACUCCUACGGGAGGCAGCAGUGGGGAAUUUUGGACAAUGGGGGCAACCCUGAUCCAGCCAUGCCGCGUGAGUGAAGAAGGCCUUCGGGUUGUAAAGCUCUUUCAGAUGGGAAGAAACGGUUACGGCUAAUACCCGUAGCUAAUGACGGUACCGUCAGAAGAAGCACCGGCUAACUACGUGCCAGCAGCCGCGGUAAUACGUAGGGUGCGAGCGUUAAUCGGAAUUACUGGGCGUAAAGCGUGCGCAGGCGGUUUUGUAAGACAGAUGUGAAAUCCCCGGGCUCAACCUGGGAACUGCAUUUGUGACUGCAAGGCUAGAGUACGGCAGAGGGGGGUAGAAUUCCACGUGUAGCAGUGAAAUGCGUAGAGAUGUGGAGGAAUACCGAUGGCGAAGGCAGCCCCCUGGGUCGAUACUGACGCUCAUGCACGAAAGCGUGGGGAGCAAACAGGAUUAGAUACCCUAGUAGUCC
rnacentral:rRNA from 1 species